GUUUUGGCCUGGGCUUCUUCGUUGUGUAUUCAAGGUCUGUUUAAAUGGACAGCUUUGUCACUGAUAAGCUAACUGAGUGGCGGCUGUUUGAGCUGACAGAGACAUUUUUGAGGCCAUCUACAGGGUUGAGAAGAAGACUAUCCGGCAUUCCACUGAAGAGUCCCUGACAGCGUUCAUACACCAAAUGUCUGUUGGAACAAAUAUGGUGGAAUACAGUGGCGGCUCUUAACUGCUCAUCCGAAGAUCCGCUAAUUCAAAAUAAGUGUUCAGAUUGUCACGUGUGUG